AUGCUGAACUCCUUCCUUGACAUCAUGUAUCGCAUCUUCCGCAACUCCCUCUUUCCACACAUUGGUGAGAAGGACAAGGUGCAUGCCUAUCUUGUGGAUAUGAUGCUCAUUUGUGAGGAGGCGCGCCACUCUCAGUCGCAACCAUUUGAUGUCUCACAUAUCAUGUGGUGCGAGCUUUGGUUUGCGGUGUUCAACCGUAAGGUUCCCAUCUAUGGACCUUACCUAUUUCUGUUGAUCUCAAAGACUUGGGAGAAGCACUUUCCCAAUGAGGAGUUUCUUGCCCCUGACUGGACUCAUCAUGAGCCCAUCAAGCUCCGUGUCAAGACCUAG
rnacentral:rRNA from 1 species